UGGUGGAGUGAUUUGUCUGGUUAAUUCCGAUAACGAACGAGACUCUAGCCUGCUAAAUAGACGGGCGAUUCCUUCGUGGGUCGACCCGAUUUGCUUCUUAGAGGGACAAGUGGCGUUCCUAGCCACGCGAAAUUGAGCAAUAACA
rnacentral:rRNA from 1 species